rnacentral:lncRNA from 1 species
GCGAAUCCACGGCGGAGAGCAGGCGCGCGCUGGGCUGGUGGAUGGACAGCACCACCGUCGUGCCUCUGGCGGCCGCCACGGCGCGGAGGCAGCCGACGACCACGAACGCCGAGGAGGAGUCGAGGCCGGAGGUCGGCUCAUCGAGGNNNNNNNNNNGUUGAGAUGCGCGGGGACGGCGAAGCCGUGUGAGAGGAGGGCGGCGUCGAAGGAGGCGAGGGAGCCGUGGUGGAGGACGGUGCCGCGGGAGAGGAGGAGGAGCGAAUCCACGGCGGAGAGCAGGCGCGUGCUGGGCUGGUGGAUGGACAUCACCACCGUCGUGCCUCUGGCGUCCGCCACGGCGCGGAGGCAGCCGACAACCACGAACGCCGAGGAGGAGUCGAGGCCGGAGGUCGGCUCAUCGAGGAGGAGCACGCCGGGGUCACGGAGCAGGGCGAGGCCAAUGGACACCCGCCGGCGCUCGCCUCCCGAUAGCCGUGAC